UUUAACUAAUGACUACAUAUUGAAACGUGCGUAGGUUUCACUUUAUUCUUCUCGUCAUCAAUUUGGAAAUUGGAGAAGUUGAAGUCUUGGACUCACUAAGCAAAGAAAAGGAUCUAUACGUGUCUUGUUUUUUAAUGCUCAGAAGCGUAUGGCAAACUUUCAUCAAGGAAGAUACGUCCCGUGAAUGGCCACCGAAGCUGCGAUGGCGUGCGAAAAAAUGCCCGCAACAACCUCCGGGGACCGAUCUCUGUG